ensembl:misc_RNA Metazoa_SRP Metazoan signal recognition particle RNA
GCCGGGUGCGGUGGCGCGCGCCUGUAAUCCAAGCUACCGGGAGGCUGAGGCUGGCGGAUCGCUUGAGCUCAGGAGCUCUGAGCUGCAGCGGACUAUGUCGAUCGGGUGUCCGCACUAAGUUCGGUAUCGAUAUGGUGCUCCCGGGGGAGCUCGGGACCACCAGGUCGCCUGAGGAGGGGUGCACCGGCCCAGGUCGGAAACGGAGCAGGUCAAAGCCCCCGUGCCGCUCAGUAGUGGGAUCGCGCCUGUGAAUAGACGCUGUAGUGCAGCCUGAGCAAUACAGCGGGACCCAGUCUUUU